GAAAUGCGAUAAGUAAUGUGAAUUGCAGAAUUCAGUGAAUCAUCGAAUCUUUGAACGCACAUUGCGCCCAUUAGUAUUCUAGUGGGCAUGCCUGUUCGAGCGUCAUUUCAACCCUUAAGCCUAGCUUAGUGUUGGGAGCCUACUGCUUUUGUUAGCUGUAGCUCCUGAAAUACAACGGCGGAUCUGCGAUAUCCUCUGAGCGUAGUAAUUUUUUUCCUCGCUUUUGACUGGAGUUGCAGCGUCUUUAGCCGCUAAACCCCCCAAUUUUUAAUGGUUGACCUCGGAUCAGGUAGGAAUACCCGCUGAACUUAA
rnacentral:misc_RNA from 1 species